AAACAUUGUUUCUAUAAAUUUAACAAAUAACAUACAAUUUCUAAAACAUAAUUUAAGAAAUCAUAAAACACUAUGUAAACUCUUAAAAUACUAAAAUGACAAAGUAAAAUACAAAAAUACUCAAACUGACCUUUUUAUAUGAAUUUAUCCUGCUGACAAUUAUAUGUCUGUAUAAUACAGUGGUCAGCGUGCGUGUGCCGCAAAGGUCCAAAUGCAAGAAAAAUUAUACUUUAACCACGUGAUGUUUUCCCGGGAAAAUUAUUUAAUGAAACAAUUAAAAUAAAAAUGAAUUUGAAUUUCAUAAUUAAUAAUCUCUUUUUAUCAAAAGGUUACUUUAAGUGUACAACAAAAAAUAAUAAUUUUAUAAAUAUUUAAUUUACUAUAAUGCAUCCGUUCUAAUUCUGGAAAAUCGUCUGCAAGUCUCAUAUUCCCUAAUCUACACAUGCUAAAGCAAUUAAAACUUGCAUACACCAUAAAAUUUGUUUGUUUACAGUGGAGCUAAUCCCGUGAAGCUAAUACAUGAUAUCUUCCACAAAAAUCUUAUCAUAUAUGAUUGUACACUUUAACCUACUACACAUAUAAUUGAAACAAUUUAUUUAUAUUUAUAUAUAUAAAACCAUAACCUUAAAACAUUAUUACAAAACAAAAUAGUUUACAAUUUCACUCAAAAAUAUUGACGUGCAAAUUACUAUUUUACACUCCCCUACUUUGUGUUGACGUCCACGACAACGCGUCUGACAAAAAUAAUCAAACUCAUUAACACCAAGAUAUGGUUUCCAAUAUCAAUUAAAUACAAACGAUUGACC
rnacentral:lncRNA from 1 species